CCUACGGGUGGCUGCAGUCGAGGAUCUUCGUCAAUGGGGGAAACCCUGAACGAGCGACGCCGCGUGUGCGAUGAAGGCCUUCGGGUUGUAAAGCACAAAAGUGGGGAUAAAGCCGCAAGGUUGAUUGAUCCACAGUAAGCUCGGGCUAAGUUCGUGCCAGCAGCCGCGGUAAGACGAACCGAGCGAACGUUGUUCGGAAUCACUGGGCUUAAAGGGCGCGUAGGCGGGCGACCAAGUCGGUGGUGAAAUCCUGCAGCUUAACUGCAGAACUGCCU
rnacentral:rRNA from 1 species